AUGGUGAAUGGCGAUGGAGAUACUGCCUCAUUCUGGGAGGACCGUUGGCUUGAUGGUCGGGCAAUCUCGGAGAUUGCACCCAAGUUGCUCAUGCUGGUCUUCGGUCGUACCAGAAAGCGGUGGACUACUCGAGAUGCCUUUACCGAUCGUCGUUGGAUCUCGAAUAUCAGGGAGGGCGGGCCACCUACUCUAUGGCAACACAUCAGAUUUGGCGAUUGUUCUACACAGUCCAACUUGCUCCCACCCAGACGCCCCCCAGUUGUGGUGGACACCGGAUGCGCAAUACAUGACCAACAUGACCAAGAGUUGCUAUGA
rnacentral:rRNA from 1 species